GGCAGUGGAGGUGAGGGGAUCUUGCUGGAGAUGCCUGCCUACUGGAGGUCUUCUGAAGCACAGAUUUGGAUCCCAGACAUCCUGCAGUGCCCAGCUCCGGCAGAUGUUAGUCCAAGUGGAGCCAGCUCCAUCAGCAACGGCCUAGGGAUGGUUCAUCCCAAAGCAGCCUGCCUCCAGGACCUAUGUCACCAUUGCACUGCCAAUGCUGCAAUGCUGCAGUCCCUCUAGGCAAGACAGGGGAAAACACAAUGUGCCAGAGGUUGGUGGGAUGCUCAUCCAGGCAGAAAUGGCUCCAGCACCAUGCCCUGCUCUGACCUUCCCAGGCUCAGAUGUCCCUGCAGCCAUCAGCCCACCUGAGAUGACCUUUACCUACAGUGCAAUGCAGGGACACCAGAUGCACGAUGCCCAGGAUGUGCAUGCCUAACAGACAGAGCUCCCUGAACUUGUCUGCACAAGGAAAUAAACCAAUUCAUCUUAUCUAAUUUUGGAAGGGGCUUGGGUUGGACAGCUGUAAGCCGUUCCCUGCUGUCACACGGUGAAUCAAGGCCAUCUUGUUAGAAGUGAAACCUGCUGCUGUGUUUCACCUUGCUAACAUCUGCAUCAGGGCCUCUGCCAAGCCUGAGGGAUGUAAGAAGAUGAGGAUCAAAUCUUCUAGAGACAUGGAGGAAUCUAGUUCCUGAGUCCUGAGAACUGAAUAUCAUCACAGAUUGGGUCUCCCCAUCCCCUAUGCCCCAUGUGAAGCAUAUGGUCAUCCUCUAGUUCCAUAUGCUCUGGGGAACCUGAGAUAAGACAAGAGGGCUUCUGGGUCAACCUUCACCUUGUGGAGGUGAACAGAUGGGUUUUCUGGUGGGAAUGACAUUCUGAAAAGCAAUUACACAUGAAGACAUCCCCAACAGACUAUGAUGUGCUCUGGCCCAGGGCCCGAGUCAUCUUGGGUUUGGAUUUUAAUUAGGCCCGUUUUGGGUAUCUGUUCUCUACUUCCCUCCAGAUAAUGAUUUAAUUAUUACAGACAUGUCUUCAAAUUAGCAGCUUCCUCAGUGGAUUAUUCUGCUGGGAUCUCCUCAAUUACAGUGCCCAUCUCGCUGCCAUUUAAAAGAAAAAAGAGGCAGGAAAACACAAAGGAAAACUGAAACUUCCUGGAAAGAGAAACCACGCAAGCACCUGCCGAGCAGGGGCCACUGUCAAGCCCUUCUCAUCCCUUUAUCCGAAUCUCACAGUGGAUUAAGAAGCCUAGCUCUGAAAUGCACACUGAGUGCCUGCAUGAUGCAAGACCAUGGCUGCUUGUGUCCUCCUGUCACCAAGCCUCAUUACCUAGCAGACCACAAGCAGGUGGAGAGCCCAAGAGUGAGAACGAGACAGUGAUAAACUGUAAGGUAAGACCCCAAACUGCUUCUUUCUAGUGGGAUGGCAUGGCUGGUGAUCCCUAAGGAGAAGAAGGGAGCCAGAGGACGUGAUGAGGACCCCAUUUGUUGCCCAUGUUGGAGCCUCCCAGCCAGCCCUCUGUUGGGAAGCACUGCAGGGGCAAGGGGAAGGCAGGUGACAGUGGGAGCAGGUAGAAGAUAAGCCAUGAGUCCUGACAGCAAGCCAGACCUCCUCCUUGGGCAGUAGGACCAGGAAGGGGCCAUGCCAGGCUCCAGCAAGGCUCCAGGCCUCAGGGAUGAAGGCAAGACAGAACUGCAGCACCAGCUGCCAAAAAGAAAUAGCAGACACAGGCAGAGUAAAGGACAUGGAACAGUGACACUUCCAGAGAGCAGCUUGACAACAUGACUUGGUGCCAAUGAGCAGUAACUCACCCACAGAACAGCCACUUUCUGACUAAAUCACCAAGAGGCAAGCUGCUUCCUCUCUGCAAGACCCGAGCUGAACACCUUCAUGCUGCGAGGCUGCAGCAAGCUCCUCAGAGCCUGACAUGACCCCGCUCCCCAUGGCAUGCCAAGGAAGGAGAGGACAAGCAUGUGAGGCUCCCCACUGCUUGCUGCGGAACUCCAGCCACACACCGAGACUCCCUCUGGUCCUUUUCCACCAAAGCAUGUGAGCUUUUGACUGCAGGAGCUGCAGGAUUUCCCAUGCUAGUAGUGCUGCAACUCCCAUGCUACAGCCAGGGAAGCAGAUUUUGCAGCGGUCGCUGGAGAAGCGCUGCUGCCUCUCCCUGCUGCAAUGGGAGCUGGGGCUGCAGCAGGAAAUCUCUGCUGGCUCCUCUGUCACUGCAGCUCACCGCGCAGCAGCUUAAACCAGCUGCAGCUCCUGAUGCUGCAAGAAGAGCCCUUGAGCGCAGCCAUGUGUGAGUCUGCAUCUAGAAAUGCAGCCCAGGUCUCUCAAAACAAGCCUAAUACCCUAUUUGUGCGGCUAGAGCAGCCCUCCUCCUCUGGUUCCCUGCCUGAGCACACAAAAAGCAGCUGGGCAGCAAAACAGCUGGGUGAUGCAGCCUGUUUACCAGCUAACAGGGUUGGGGGGCAGAAAGCCCAGGCAUCACUUGUGUCUGUUCACCUCUCCAGCGGUCACAGGCCUGGGAGAGUUCUGAGCUCUCUAUCCUGCUGGAUUUGCUAUGAGACCAUCACACUUGAGAGUGAGUGGGGUGAGAGAAAAGGCUGUGCCGACACAAGCCCUUUCGUCUCCUUUCUUUGAGAAACUGGGCUAAAGAAGAUGGGAGUGGAAGUGACACAAAAGAGAAAGAGAGGAUAUUCAUUAACCCGAUAAAACCUCCUGGAAUAAGAUAACAGCAGCAAUAACAGACACCUCCCCUCUGGCUGAGGACAAAGAAAGGCUUCCUAGUUAUGAAGAACAGGAAGAAAAUUGAAGUGGAAGAAAGGAUAUAAUGUCUGACAUGUCAGAUGUUAUUAAAAAGCCUUUAUCUAGGGAGAGAUGAUGAGCGAUGAGAACAGGGAUAUGAUGGGAAGCUGAACAGCUGGAGAACAAGUGGGAUGGGGAGAAAGCAUCCAAGCAGGGCUCUGCUGGCCCCUGACAGCCACACAGUGCCUACGGCAGAGGGCCAACUUCUGGAGGAACACACGGGGCUGUGCAGUGAGGAGGGCAGCAGCCAUGGGGAGCCCCAUGGCAGCCUUGUCCCAUGCAGAUCAGUGAGCCCCACAGAGCUGUGGUGAACACCUCUGUGCUUUGAGGCAUCCUGUGCAGCAUUACCAGCCCUGGGCCAUGCUGGCUCCAUAACGUGAUGUGACGUCUCUGCUCUACACGUGGAUGCAACCUUGCUUUCUCAGAGCACCAUCAACACAGCCAGGAACCCACACCUGCCAGAAUCAUGAGCUGAGAAGCAAAUUGAGCAGCCCCUCCAGCUUCCCCAUGAGCAGUGGGAUGAACCCCCAGGUGCUGUCCAACCACCCCAGGAGCUGAGCUGUAGCAUGUGCAGCCAGGCAGAGCCCCAGCUGGUGCCCACACCAGGUGAGCAUGGCCUGAUGUGGCCCCAGCUUUUCAAGGCUGAUGGCCAGGGAGAGGAGAGGAGUGUGUGGGCUGGAUUGGUGUCACGCAGCAUUGCGGGCUCUCUGGCUCCCACAGCAGAGUGAAGGCAGCUCCAGCCCAGGAGGCACAGCCAGAGCUGCUCUGGUUCUUCCAGUACAGACAUAACGUCCCUCUCCUGCUCACGCUGCUGAGAUGAGCAAGCCCUCCCCAGCCUCUUUGGCAUCUUGCAGGCAGCGAAGCGAGGAGAUUUGCAGGCAGGAGUGGCUCAGCCUCCCUUGGCAUCUCUCUCUGCUGCUUCCCCGUGAGUUGUGUUUGUGGGUAACACCCCCAAGGGGAGACCCUGACACGAACAAACCCAGCGAGUGCUGGAAGCAGGCAAACGCAUGCCGAGCCUUGCCUCAACUCUGCUUUAAUAUGCACGCAAUAUGGCCAGAGCUGCUCUGAAUCUGACAGUAUUCACUUUUUGUAAAAGAACAAGCAGCAGCAGCCAAACCGCACACGUCUCCCUGUCAGAGCAAGGUCGGGGCAGGCAGGGUGCUGGGAGCUGUGGCUGCACAUGGGAUGGACUCUCUUGAACUCAGACCAUCAUCUUCAGAGCAUGACAUGGAGACAGCAAAGCUGUCACAGCAGCCACUGUCAUCUCAGCGUCCUCCCAGCGCUGCCAGUCUGCUGCAGCCUGCUCUGGGUACCAGUGUUACCAGCACCUGUCCUGUGCCCACAAGUCCUCCCAGAUGUACCACGUGUGUCACUGUCUGUGCUUGGAAGCUGCCUCUUCCAGAGGAUCAGCCUGAACCCAAGCUGACGGGGGAGUGAGGAAAGGGGAAAGCACAGAUCACCUGAGCAUGAUCUGCAGCACCUCAUGCUUUGGGGAGGAGAGGCUCAGGCAAACCCCCACGUGUGCCACAGCUGCUGCUUGAUGGAGAGAGAUUUCUCUUUCCUCCUCCCCAGCACCAAAACUUGGAUGAUAAUCACUGGAUUGUUGCCAUUGCUUUGGGGCUGCCAUAUUAAAAAAAAAAGAGGUUUUCAUUUGAUCAUCUGCUUGUAGUUAAUUUAGUUACAAGAGUUUUGCAGUGAUCAUUUUUGGAGAUGGCAAUCAGAGCAUCUCUGCAAGCAGAAAUGGCUAUCGUUCCACAUCUCCUUUGUGUUUGCAUGUAUAUAAAGAAAUUUUGUCUCCUAAAAUGAAGCCGAAAUAAGCCCCAGCAUUGCUGAUCACUGCACGGCUCUUCAUGAACGCUGGUGUCGCUUUCAAAUCACACGUCGUCAAUAAAUCUAAUUCUAACUGCCCUGCAGCAAAUGGCAUCAGCCUGCACUUUGAGAUCUCUCCCACACGUACUCCACUGCCUAAAAAUACCAGCGCUUUAAUUCUCAAA